CAUCCGCUGUUUUUCGUCAAAUAAAGACCCCCCUCCUAACUUCGUCUUCUUCAUCUCACCAUCCUAGAGAACCAAUAACCCCCUACUUUAAAAUACAUAGUAGUAGCAGCCAAUCUCGAUUGAAUAAGAAGACACCUAUAGCAACGAAUCCAUCUUCUUCGUCUCAUCUCCAUCUCCUUCAAACCCAUAAUAGCUACAGACCCAUCUCCAGCUACUUCCAACAACAUUCAGCAUCUGCUUCUUCCCAUUCACAGGAGCUCGCCGGAGCAUGCACACACGCGGUCACGUACAUAAACAAAAACAGGACAGAAAUUAAAAAGAGGUCCGUGGUUCUUAGAAUCUUUGAAAAAUCAGAAAACUAAAAGAAAACAAAAAAAUAGAUAUUUACUCUUCAUUUUAUAUCUCGAUUUUGAUUUUAAGAAAACCAUGGAUUAUGGUUGAUGUCGUUUGAGGUCGUGGUUCGAGGUUCGUCAUGGUCUAAUUUGAGUGAGUCGAUUUCAGUCAAAGUUCCGUUCGUUGCUGAGUAUUACACACAGUUAGUCCGAGCAUAUCUCUGUAAUUUUUCAUUUUACUCAUUUAAAAGAAGCAAUCCCAGGUUUAGUUUUUAUCACUCUUGCUUUAUUUUUGCGUCAGCUUCCACUGUGAUAUGAACAACAUGAUACUUAUCUAUUAUCUCCCAAUCUUCUUUGUUUAAAUUAUGUUGGAAUUACUGUUCGGUAGAGUUG
rnacentral:lncRNA from 1 species